CCCGCUGAACUUCAGCAUAUCAGUAAGCGGAGGACAAGAAACUAACAAGGAUUCCCUUAGUAGCGGCGAGCGAAGAGGGAGUAGCCCAUAACCGAAUCCCAUGGCGUGAUGCCAUUGGGAAAUGUGGUGUUGGGGUGGUUUCUUGUUGCGUGUCCUACAUAUCCUAAGUCCACGUGAUUGUGGCUCAUUCCCCAGAGAGGGUGUAAGGCCCGUUAGGAUUGCGGACGCGUGACGCGAAUCUACUCUAGAGUCGGUUUGCUUGGGAAUGCAGACCUAAUCGGGUGGUAAACUCCAUCCAAGGCUACAUAUAAGACGAGUCCGAUAGCGAACAAGUACCGUGAGGGAAAGCUGAAAAGAACUUUGAAGAGAGAGUUCAAUAGUGCGUGAAACCGCUCAGAGGUAAACGGGUGGAGCCGAAGUUGGCGCGGUGGUUGAUGUUUUCUGAUGUGCUCAUGGGCUGCGUUGCGGAUCCGUUAUAGGAACGCGCGUGGUUUGUGGUGUGCGUUGGUUGGCUGUUUUCCCCGUGCUGUCACCACGAUCGGCGAUGUGUUGCUCUAUUGUCGAGAGGAAGGUAGGGUUGUGCUCUUCGGGGUGUAACCUGUUAUAGACUCUUGGCGCGUGGAGUGAUGCGUUGCCGUGUAUGGCGAAGUAAGCCCAAUUUUAGUGGGCGCAUAUGGGUGCUUGCGUUGAUGCCCUCAGUGGGACACUCAUUGCCGAGUGUUGUAUUGAGUGUGUGUUGACGUUGAGCGCUCCUCUAUGCAUUACUUCAACAAUCUGUGGUGUUUUGUAGGCCAUCUACAUGUCCCGUCGUGAAACACGG
rnacentral:rRNA from 1 species